UACGAAGGGGGCUAGCGUUGCUCGGAAUCACUGGGCGUAAAGGGUGCGUAGGCGGGUCUUUAAGUCAGGGGUGAAAUCCCAGAGCUCAACUCUGGAACUGCCUUUGAUACUGGGUGUCUUGAGUAUGGAAGAGGUGAGUGGAACUGCGAGUGUAGAGGUGAAAUUCGUAGAUAUUCGCAAGAACACCGGUGGCGAAGGCGGCUCACUGGCUCGUAUCUGACGCUCAGGCGCGACAGCGUGGGGAUCAAACAGG
rnacentral:rRNA from 1 species